CUUGACAGAUAUACAGCAGGUCUCUAUCAUUGCCUUAUUGCAUUGGUGAAUACCACUAUACCAUCCAGCAGGACUAUCACGACUGCAGUAGUGUUCCUUGUGAUCUUUUGCACUUUGGUCCAACACAAUUGUUGGCUAGCACAUCUAAAUAAUCCCUAUAAAGGAUCAUUUUUACGAACAAAAUGUGUGUUCUUUUAUUUGUUUAUAUGGAAAAACAAAUGUGAUACUUACCCCUGAGGAAGUCCUUUGGGACAAAACGCGUUGGAUUCUGUGUCUUCUUGAUACAUACAUCACCUUUUUUGAACAACUACUUGGCAAGAAAAUUCUGUUUGAUUAAAUUAGAACUAUUCACGGUGUGGAAAAUGUUUUGAUUAUGUCUGUUAUGUGGAA